AUGCAGCUGACGAGUCCCAAAUAGGACGAAAGCGCAUCCUGGAU
rnacentral:hammerhead_ribozyme from 1 species